rnacentral:rRNA from 1 species
UACGUAGGGUGCAAGCGUUAAUCGGAAUUACUGGGCGUAAAGCGUGCGCAGGCGGUUAUGUAAGACAGAUGUGAAAUGCCCGGGCUUAACCUGGGAACUGCAUUUGUGACUGCAUGGCUAGAGUUUGGCAGAGGGGGGUAGAAUUCCACGUGUAGCAGUGAAAUGCGUAGAUAUGUGGAGGAACACCGAUGGCGAAGGCAGCCCCCUGGGUCAAGACUGACGCUCAUGCACGAAAGGCGUGGGG